CAGUUUUUUCCCAUCUUUUCAGUUUGUUAAAUAUUUAAGUUCUAUUUUGACAAAUUUUGUACUAAAGUGGCACAUACUUUCAGUUAUUGCAGAGCAGUCGAACGAGUACCUCAAACUGAUACACACUACUUAUGGUGGUCUUCUAAUUGAACGGGACAUUUACAGAAAUUUAAUUUGACCGGAGAAGCUCUCGGGACACUCGGCACCAAAGAGAUUCCUGGUUCUAUCAUCUAUUGCUACUCUCUGUUCUUCUUUUAUCGUCUUCAGGUGAGACGUGAUCUUUAGCCUGCAUCUUUUGUUGUCAUUUCUGGACUAGCUACCUCCUGAUAUACAAAUGCAGUAGGGUCAAUUCAUUUUGGGUUGAUAAGUGUGUGCUUAGAGUAUAGUAGAAUUUUAUUAAGUUACUGUUAG
rnacentral:rRNA from 1 species